CGUUCCCAUCCCGAACACGACCGUUAAGCCCUCCAGCGCCGAUGGUACUUGGACCGCAGGGUCCUGGGAGAGUAGGACGUUGCCAAGC
rnacentral:rRNA from 1 species